UACGAGGGGGGCGAGCGUUGUUCGGAAUUAUUGGGCGUAAAGGGUGCGUAGGCGGUUCCGCAAGUCCUGUGUGAAAUCUUCGGGCUCAACUCGAAGUCUGCACGGGAAACUGCGGGGCUUGAGUGUGGGAGAGGUGAGUGGAAUUCCCGGUGUAGCGGUGAAAUGCGUAGAUAUCAUCUGGAACGCCAAUGGUGCAGACAGGCUGCUGGGAAUGAACUGACGCUGAGGCACGAAAGCCAGGGGAGCGAACGGG
rnacentral:rRNA from 1 species